GAUCCAUCUGUUUCACCAGAAGGAAAUCCCACGGUUCAUGGCGAUCCAUCUGUUUCACCAGAAGGAAAUCCCACGGUUCAUGGCGAUCCAUCUGUUUCACCAGAAGGUAAGAGUCAACAUCAGCUAUGGAAGCUCUAUAUCCACAUCAUUAAACAU